rnacentral:tRNA from 1 species
GGGGCCGUAGUCUAGCCUGGUAGGACGCACGGCUCGGUGCGGCCGAACGAACCCAGCCGCGGGCAAGCCCGUGUGACCCCGGACGGCGGACGCCGGGGGAAGUUCAAAUCCCGGCGGCCCCA